AGAUUAAGUUAUUAAGGGCGCACGGUGGAUGCCUUGGCACUAGAAGCCGAUGAAGGACGUUACUAACGACGAUAUGCUUUGGGGAGCUGUAAGUAAGCUUUGAUCCAGAGAUUUCCGAAUGGGAAACCCAGCAUGAGUUAUGUCAUGUUAUCGAUAUGUGAAUACAUAGCAUAUCAGAAGGCACACCCGGAGAACUGAAACAUCUUAGUACCCGGAGGAAGAGAAAGAAAAUUCGAUUCCCUUAGUAGCGGCGAGCGAAACGGGAAGAGCCCAAACCAACAAGCUGCUUGUUGGGGUUGUAGGACACUCUAUACGGAGUUACAAAGGACGACAUUAGACGAAUCAUCUGGAAAGAUGAAUCAAAGAAGGUAAUAAUCCUGUAGUCGAAAAUGUUGUCUCUCUUGAGUGGAUCCUGAGUACGACGGAGCACGUGAAUUCCGUCGGAAUCUGGGAGGACCAUCUCCUAAGGCUAAAUACUCUCUAGUGACCGAUAGUGAACCAGUACCGUGAGGGAAAGGUGAAA
rnacentral:rRNA from 1 species